rnacentral:rRNA from 1 species
AUGGAAGAGGAAGGCUAUAGUACCGAAUCAUCCAAUGAAGGAGACACACAAGAAGAUGGUGACAAGGAGAAAAACCUUGCUGAGGGCGAUGUCUUUAAGCCGGUUCAUAUGGAUCCAGAAUGGAUACCUAAAGUAGGGAUGGUAUUUGAUUCAGAGGAAGACACCUUUCAGUUCUAUGUCACAUAUGGACGUCGCUCUGGUUUUGGUAUCACAAGGAGAUCUAACAACACCUUUGAUGGUUUCCGCUAUCGCUCUACCUUCAUAUGCUCUAAAGGAGGGCAAUCUAGGAUGAGAUCUGGUGUGACAAGGCAUGCAAGAAAGCGAGGCACAAAGACUGGCUGCAAGGCUAAGAUCAUUGUCAAGGACGCCCAUUUUCAGAAUCGCUGGGAAGUUAUUGUUCUCGAGUUGGAGCAUAACCAUCCACUGGAGCCCAGUUUGAUUAAAUAUAAGAAGCAUUUAGAGAACAUCCCUUUCUCUCUAAAUCCACCUCGUUUGUCUGAGGCGCCACAAAGUAGCUCACUUGUUGGAUAUUCUAGUAGUUUUGGAGAUAGUGGCAUACCUUCAUCUGCCCAGAUUGAAAUCAAGACCAAGAUAGACAGAAAUAGGAAACUGAAGAUUGCUGAAGGAGAUUUAGAGGCAUUAGUGAGUUUUUUCAAUGACAUGCAAGACCGAAACCCGUGUUUCUUUCAUAGUUUAGACGUGAAUGAGCAAGGACAGCUAAGGAAUGUCUUCUGGGCUGAUGCCAAAUCACGUAGUUCUUACAAUUACUUUGGUGAUGUGGUUGCUAUUAAUGUCACAAACUUCAGUGAUCAGUAUGAUAUACAGUUUAUGUCAUUUGUGGGCACCAACCACCAUGCUCAACCACUGUUACUAGGGUGUGGUUUGCUUGCUGGUAGAUCUCUUGGAGCUUACGUGUGGCUUUUUGAUACAUGGUUAAGAUGCAUGAAUGCCACAUCGCCACCUUCAAUAAUUACCCACUAUUGUCAUGAUGUUGCAAUAGCUGUUAAAAAGGUUUUCCCCAAUUCACGGCACCCCUUUUGCCUUUGGCACAUUUAA